CUACGGGACGCACCAGUGGGGAAUAUUGCACAAUGGGCGCAAGCCUGAUGCAGCAACGCCGCGUGAGGGAUGAAGGCCUUCGGGUUGUAAACCUCUUUUAGCAGGGAAGAAGCGAAAGUGACGGUACCUGCAGAAAAAGCACCGGCUAACUACGUGCCAGCAGCCGCGGUAAUACGUAGGGUGCAAGCGUUGUCCGGAAUUAUUGGGCGUAAAGAGCUCGUAGGCGGUUUGUCACGUCUGCUGUGAAAAUCCAAGGCUCAACCUUGGACUUGCAGUGGGUACGGGCAGGCUAGAGUGCGGUAGGGGAGAUGGGAAUUCCUGGUGUAGCGGUGGAAUGCGAAGAUAUCAGGAGGAACACCAAUGGCGAAGGCACAUCUCUGGGCCGUAACUGACGCUGAGGAGCGAAAGCGUGGGGAGCGAACAGGAUUAGAUACCCGAGUAGUC
rnacentral:rRNA from 1 species